rnacentral:rRNA from 1 species
UACGAAGGGGGCGAGCGUUGUUCGGAAUUACUGGGCGUAAAGGGCGCGUAGGCGGCAAUUCAAGUCAGCUGUGAAAUCUCCGGGCUUAACUCGGAACGGUCAGCUGAUACUGCUUUGCUAGAGUACAGAAGGGGCAAUCGGAAUUCCUGGUGUAGCGGUGAAAUGCGCAGAUAUCAGGAGGAACACCGAUGGCGAAGGCAGGUCUCUGGGCAUUAACUGACGCUGAGGAGCGAAAGCAUGGGGAGCGAACAGG